UAAUACGAAGGGGGCUAGCGUUGCUCGGAAUCACUGGGCGUAAAGCGCACGUAGGCGGCUUUCUAAGUCAGGGGUGAAAUCCUGGAGCUCAACUCCAGAACUGCCUUUGAUACUGGAGAGCUUGAGUCCGGAAGAGGUGAGUGGAACUCCGAGUGUAGAGGUGAAAUUCGUAGAUAUUCGGAAGAACACCAGUGGCGAAGGC
rnacentral:rRNA from 1 species